GGGGCCGCAACGGUUUCGACGGGGGUACAAAAUCCGAGAUAGCGGGCGGAUGCGUCGGCCAUCCUUAAAACCGGCAAUUUAUAAAUUAAAGAACAGUAACGAAACUGCUCUUCUCGCUGCUUAAGCAGUGAGCGUUCUCUCCAAAAGGGCCACGAGUUGGAAGAGGGCGUCGAUUAGUGGCGAACGUGAGUGUGCAAAGCUUUGAGUACACCAUGCAUAAUGAAGCUACCAAGUAUAUGAGAUUGAGCGUCAGCUCAUAUGUAAGGGAAUGUAGAUGACUCUCUGCGCCCGGAGAGGUUUCGGUGGAUGUGCUUUCGGACGCGGGUUCAAUUCCCGCCGGCUCCACCA
rnacentral:tmRNA from 1 species